AGAGCGUAUUGGAAGGAGGCAAAUGGAAGGGGUAUGAGAUAAACCAGGCAGGCAGGAUUGGGGGUACAGUACCUGGGAGAAUAGUAAAAAACUGAAUAGUGAAAAAUAGAUUGGGACCAGAUGCUGGAGGGUCUUGAAUGCUUGGAGUGUGUCUGAAGGGCACUGGGGGACCAUGGGAGGUUUUACAGUAGGAGAAGGACGUGGCGAGCCGAUAUUUCAGGGAAGAUAGUGAAAGAGGUGUCUAGAAUGGAUGAGAAAAGAGAGAGCCUGCACUUAGCAGGCAGUCAGUUAGGAGGCUGCUGGGGACACACAGCUGGGAGUCCUGUCUGCCCUCCACACCCUCCCUUCUCAGCACCAGAGGAACCAGGCCAGCACGUUGUGACCUUCCCCCUGUCCAGCCCCGACUGUCUCAGCCCUGGUACUUAUCUGUGUGCGUCCUGCUCACUCUGACACACCUUUCGUAGGUUGCCAGGUUACUGCAGCCCUGUGCUGGCCGAGUCCUUGUGCUGCAGGUCCUGUGCCACUUAAUUGUCCCUCACUCUCCAGCCUCUAUAUAUGUGUGUUUUCAUUAUUUUAAUCUUAAAGUGAGGAACAACGAGGCUGCUGGAAGUAGGCCACGCACUUUUGUUUGCUCUUCUCACCAAGGACAAGCAUGUUCCGGAGCCCUGGGAGCAAAGACCUGGAGUCCCAGGGGAGGGAGGUAAGGGGCAGAACAUGGAGAAGCCACGGCUGUGCUCAGGCCAACACGCCAUCGGCUGGUGACCAUUUUGUUGUGGGCAGCCGUUGCAGCUGGAGUCUUGGUCCCUGUGUUUGUCAGUCGCCACGUCUUCCUGGUUGUCGUGGUUGUGGAGCUGCAGCCAGGUCCCAGCCCUCCUGGCAGAAGACGUUCUGGUCAUGGUGAAUCUGGUUGGCAGUCAGACCCUGCCUGUGGCCCUGGGCUGUUCCUUCUUGUCUGUGUCCUGUGACUGUGCCGCAGUUGUUUGUGAAGUGCUGCUGCUGGCAUAAGAAAUUGCUUAGUCAACCUGCGUUAAGCACCUACUGCAUACAGAGCUUUUUUUUAAUCCAGUAUGCAUAAUAAUAGGCAAAUAGUCCUUGGUGGUUUAGUCCCUGCCUGGGUUGCUGUUGUGUAUUGUUGAGUUGAUUCUUACUCAUUGUGACCCUGUAGGACAAGGAAUUACCCCAUAGGGUUUCCAAGGCUGUAAUCUUCAUGGGAGCAGAUCACCAGGUCUUUGAUUCUGCAGAGCCACUGGUGGGUUCGAACCACUGACCUUUCGUUUAGCAACCAAGCGCUUAACCACUGCACCACCAGGGCUCCUUGCCUGGGUGAUGGGUGUAAUAAAAAAAUAACUGCCGUUUCUUGAGUGUUUGCUGCAUGCAGGGCCGUGUGCUAAGUACCUUGCAUAUAUGAUGUUGUUUAACUCUCCCAGUAACCAGGCGUUUCGGUUGGUAUCCGCAUUGUUUUAUGGCUGAAGAAAUGGAGACAAGAUGAGGUUAAUUCACGUGCCUUGGGUCACACAGCCAGUAAGUGUGAGCCUUUCUGACACGCAGGCCCCCACGCUCAGUCCCAAUGCUGUUCUGUGUCUCACGGUACCCAGACCCAGGACUUAGCAUUUGGGAGUCUUGGGUUCAGUUUCUUGUUCUGUUGCUUCCUGGCUGAUGGCUGAGCCGCCUACCUUUUCUCAUUUGCUCAUUCUUAAAAUGAGAAUAAUUUUGUCUACUUCACAAGGUUUUAAUGGGAAUGAAAUAGGAUAAUUUGUCAUUAGAGUACUUUGUAAACUUUGUUGUUGUUAGUUGCUGUUGAGUCAGGCCCUGACUCAUGGUGAUCCCGUGUAAGAUGGAACGAAACACUACUUAGUCCUGCGCCGUCUCCACGAUGGGUUGUGGAUCAGAUCACUGUGAUCCAUAGGGGUUUCAUUGGUCGAUUUUUGGAAGUAGAUCUCCAGGCCUUUCUCCUUAGUCCUUCUUAGUCUGGAAGCUACGCGGAAACCUGUUCAACAUCUUAGCAACAUGUAAGCCUCUGCUUACAAGUAGGUGGCUGGCUGCGCAUGCGGUGCAGUGGUGGGGUUUACCUGGGUAUUCCUCAUGGAAAGUGAGAGUUCUACCACAGAGCCACCACUUUGUAAACUAGAAGGAGUUAUACAUUAUACAGGUAUUACACCUCAUCUAAGUGAGUCAGCUGUAAAAACUUGUUUAAAACAGACUGACCAAAAAAAAAAAAAAAAAAAAAAUCCUAUGUGUAUUUGGCUUUUUUUGUUAUGUAUUUGUUUUUUUUUUGUUUAAAGGAAACGUGGUUUGCACAACCUUUGGCUGGGGUUACCAGGUGUCAGAAGGGGGAGUAGCUCUUCAGCAAGGAUAGGGGCUCAGAGGGAGUUUUUAAGGGAGGAAGGGAUGUGGUUAGCAUGUGUACUGUCAUGGUUAAGAGUCUGGGUUUUUGCGCCUGACACUGACUUUGAGUCUAGUUACUAGCUGAAUAUCCUUGGACAAGGUCCUCAGUUCCCAGGACCUGUAAAAUGGAGUUAAUCAUGGUAUCGACUUUAUACCGUUGUCGUGAAGACAGAAUGAGCUGUGAUGCAUUCAGAGAGCCUAGCACACGGCCUGACGUGGUAAGUGUUAAUGAAUGCUGAGGUCAGUGCUGAUGAUAAAGAUGAUGCUGUUAUUUAUUGGGCAGAUGAAAGGCUAAAGGGUAUCCUAGUUUGGGGGCUUGGCCGUAUUUAAAGUCUCUCUCAGAAGUGGGGGUGAGGGGAACAUAUAUGUCUGGUGGGACUGAGGGCCUUAACCUUAGGGCCCCAUUGGAAGGAAGCCAGAAACAAAAAGACCAAACCCUUUGCCUUCAAGUCCAUUCUUACUCAUGGCAACCCCAUGUAUUACAAAGUAGAAUGCUCCAUAGAACUUUCUUGGCUGUAAUCCCUAUGGAAGCAGAUUGCUAGGCCUUUCUUCUGCAGAGCCACUGGGUGAGUUUGAACUGCUAGUCUUUAGGUUAGCAGCCAAUCACAAGCCGAUUGCACCACCGACGAUCCAUGGGAGGCAGCCAGACCCCCAUCAAGGGCUCUAAGCCAAACACAGCCUCUCCCAAAGCUGGAGGUCAGGGCUGUGGGGCCAUAAAGGAUUCAGAGGGAGGCAACCUCUGCCUGAAGCCUCCUGAAGGCCCCUGGAGGAGGGUUGUGUCCUAGAGGUCAGCUGGCCAGAUUCCAGCCUGGGCCUGAGCAGAUCACGAAUCAUCAGGAGGAGGGAUGCGUUUGAGGGGGAAGCUUGGUUUUGUCAUGUUGGCCAAGGAGCAAAGUUUACUCAGUAAGAGUUCCUGCCAUUUUUUUAACUUGUUACUUGGUUCUGUGUGUUAAGAGAGAAGGAGUCAGGGGAGGCAAGAGUUGAGGUAGGGGUGGGAAGGAGGUUAAAUGUCUGGAGGGGCUUGCUGGGACAUAUUCAUCUAUUUUUUUGCACAAAGGCGAUACAACUCCGUAUGACCUAGAGGUAGGAAGUAGUCAAUCAGUAGCAUUUGGGUAUUUUAUGAUUCCAAAAAUGAGGGGUAAAGACUGAAACUGAGGAUAUUUAGAAGUAGGCCCCAAAGAAGUUGUCUGAUGUUUCCAUUCCUGCGUUUGUCUAUUCAUCCAGCAGACAAUUACUAGGAAUAGAUGUGCCGAACAUGGUGUCAUAAAGGGGUAUAAGACACAUUCCAGUCCAGGAGACACUUCCUUGUGGCUAGGCUAUUUUAUAACUGUUCCCAAAUCAUGUUAGCUCUGGAAGCUAUUUUAGGAACUCCUUUGGUUAUGAACCAUAUCUUACAUUUAAUUUUGAUCCUCUUGCCUCUUCUGUCCUGGAUUCAGUAUUAGUGUCAACAAACACUGUGUGCUUGGCAUUGUCUUAGGUGUUGGAAGUACUUAGAAGAAUCAGGAGAUACUUGGUUAGAGUUUGUUGAUUAACUAGAGCUGCUGCCUAGAACAGUCUCCGAAGACCUUCAGACCUUCUCUUGUGCAGUCACAGUUGUUCAGGUCUCAGAAGCACCUUGGUCAUGGGACAUUGUUUGGAGUACAGCAGUAUCUGUGAAAGCCCCUGGAGCUAGGCCGUAAGGUAGAGGGGUUCGCCCCCCUCUUUUCUGUGGUUGGUUUAUACACAUACUAACAGUAAGACCAUGAUCCAUCCCCAGGAGGAUGGCUCUUCUUCACUCCUUUCUUUUCUUCUUUCGCUACGGCAUCCAGGGAGGGCUGCGUAGCUGAAAUCUACAGUGUGUAGUUGUUGGGAGCUAUUGGAAUCUCUGGCCUUAGAUUCUCUGGGAGAGGGUGGAUUUGACAGUAGCCUUCUGAAGUGCCUAUGAGGUGGGACGGCUGUUUCUGUUUUCUCCAUUAUCAUCAUCACAUUGAGCCGUAGGGCCAAGGAGUGCCCACAAAAGACUCCCCAGAUUCAGAAUUAGGGGCCACUGUUCUACUCUGUCUUAUAGGGCCGCUAUGAGUUGGAAUCUACUCAAUGGCAAUGGGUUUUUUACUUAUUUAUUUUUGCUAUUUUUGGGCUAAAGUGAGCUGGCCUUAUAGCAUCCUCUAGCCAGAGAGUGAGGUGAUUGCUGGUGUUUGUGACAGCAAAGGUUGGGUGUCCCUUUGAUAUUUGCUUGGGAACCCUUUACAGGAGCUGGAGUUAGAAGAGUGAGUUUAUGUUGGACAAGUCUAGAUCAAAGGAAGGAGGAGCAGCCGAAAACUCAGGAACAGCAUGGUCAGCAAUGGCCCUGAGCCUGAGUGAGCCCCGCUCUGGGGCAGCAUUGACAGAGGCCUCAUCCAGCCUGAUCAGCCAGUCGACAGGUAUUGAUUAGCAAGGAGCCCUGGCGGCUUCUAAUCAAAAGGUUGGUGGUUCGAACUCACUGCCCUCUCCAUAGGAGAAAGAUGUGACAGUCUACUUUCGUAAAGGUUACAGCCUUGGAAACCCUAUGGGGCAGUUCUACUCUGUCCUGCAGGGUUGCUGUGAUUUGGAAUUGACUUGAUGGCAGUGAGUUUAGGAGCUUAGCCCUGGGAAGAAUGAAGGCAAAUUCUGAAGCUUGCCUGGGUCCUGUCUCUGAAAAGCUUACACUCUAAUUGGAGAUACCAGAUGGGCAACUGUCACGUGAGACAUAAUAGCAUAUUAUCUGAAUUGCAACGUGGAGUCCCUGGGUGAUGCAGACAGUUAACACACCCAGGUGCUAACUGAAAGGUUGGAGGUUCAAGCCCACCCAGAGGCUCCUUGGAAGAAAGGCCUAAUGAUCCACUUCUGAAAAAUCAGCCAUCGAAAACCCUAUGGAGCACAGUUCUAUUCUGACACAUGUGAGGUUGCUAUGAGUUGAAGUCAACUUGAUGACCAGGUGAAAAGGAUCCAUCCAGUGAGCAGUCAGUAAAGGAGCUUUGAGAUCAAGCAGAUCAAGCAGAACAAGCAGAACAGGGUUUGAUUCCCAGCUAAGGAAAAUGAGCAGAUUACUGGAAAUAAAUCCAUGUGAAGGCAUCUAGCUUAGGGCUUUGCAUAUAGAAAUAAUUCAGCAAAGGUUUGUUCAUACAUUCAUACAUCAAGACUGAGGUGAUCCUGGAGAAGACACCUGAGUAAGCUUUUAAACAGUGUGUGGGGAUUAGAGUGAGAACAGAGUAGCAGGGACAGCCACAGGGGUGGACUGAGCAGGAGACAGGGAGGAAGACUGCUGGUCCUGGUCAUAGUCCUGCUGCACACUGGACUGCUCAGGCCACUCGUGGAGGGCUGCUCUGGCUCUUGAUCCCAUUAGGAGGGAAAGUGUCAGCCUGGAGCAAGCACAGAGGAGGGCUGCUGGCAUAUGAAGAAUGGUUGAAAAUACGGGAAUAUUGACCUCAGAGAGGGAAGGAUUUUGGUAGAGGGGGUUUGCUGGGCAUGGUAUUGUGUAUUUAAAGGACUGCCAUGUGAAGGGGGAUUAGACUUCCUCAGUGCCACUCCGGAGGGCAGUACUGGGGCCUAGGUCAACAACAGCAGGGAGGCAGAUGCUGACACACAGUACUGGGUGACUUCCCAGCCACUGGGGAUGUGAAGGAAGUGAGAGAGUGGAGAGGGGUGGCCCUGUAGGUUGGUGAGCUCCUUUAGGAGGUCCCAUAGAGUUUGCACAUCAGCUGAAUGCCCACCGUUCAGGGGUGCUUAUAGUAAAAACAGUGGUAGUAACUACCACUUACAAUAACAGGGUACCAGGCACCGUAACUAAGUGGUUCACCUGUAUGAAUUCAUUUAAUCUUCACAACAGCCCUGUGAAGAGGUAUGAUUAGCCCUGAUUUGUAAAUGGGAAAAUUUAGCCUGAGAGAUGAAGUAACCCACCCAUGAUCACACACUUUGGUCUUGAGCCCAAGGCUGACCUUAUACUGGUGAAAGAUGAGGCCACUUGACCUCUAGGGUGCCUUACAACACUGGAAUUCUAAAACCUCCAAGUGGGAGGCCAGUCCCACACCAUUUGAAUAGGGUGGAAGGCUCUGAGUUGGGCUGACCUAGUGCCUCUCUCGCCCCCCGGUUGAGAGCCUUGACCCUGGAGGUCUCGUCCCUGUUCUAGUUCAUUGUCAAGGCUGGCACUUUGCUGAAAGCCCAAACUUAGAUCCUGGUGGCUCUUGAUAGCCCUAGUCUCUUUCUUUCUCUCUCUUAGGCUGCAGAUGCAGACGUGCCCCUCAAUGGGGUAUAAAGCAGUAUGGAAAUUAAAGCUCAAGUCAGAGUUGUUUGGGGAACCCCCUGCCCUACUUUUCUCUGUGAUUCUGGUGGCCUAGAUCUGACUCAGCUAAGCGAAGCAAUAGUUUGUUCCAGGGCAGGAAAGAAACUCCAUUUUAAGUCACGUGGUGCUAAGCUCAUGUGGUCACGCAGAGGUCAGUACAGCCCCAUGAGUCAUCAGUUGCCUAGGUUCUUUAUACACUAGAGACAUCUCCUGCCCAGAGCUGCCCUCCACCAUCAAGAAGAGGAAUACCAAGAGCGCUGGUAACCUCUGAGGACACCAGCCUGUGCCCAGAGGGCAUCUGCCUAAAACCCCACGCCAGCCAUGUCUGGCCUGUGGCACAGACUUCGGGUUCCACUGUGCUCUUUUCGGUCCAACUCACGUGGUCUAGGCACACUCCAUCUCUCUGGAAAUUAUUUCCAUUCAUUGACAGGGCCAGGAUUUCAAGAGCAGCCAGCCAAGAGGUGCGUUAGGUUACUCCCUGAGUCCCAAGAAGACUUUGUCCCCCUGCUUGGUUUGACAGCACUAGAAGCCCCUGGUCCAGGGGUUUUGACCGGUGACUGUGGAGUGGCCACAUUCACCCGUCCUCAGCCCAGCAUCAGGGUAGUAGGUGCCGGUCCCAUUGCCAGGCUGGGUUUUGCUUAAAGCUGAGCUCUGAGCUCUCUGGGGCAGGAGCUUCGAUUUAAUGAUCGGUGGCCUAGGACAAGAUAAAUGUUCUGGCCCCUUUCACUUUUCUGGGAGGUGAUGGUAGCCAGCUUGGGCAGGACACUUUGGAGCCUGGAUUUUUGACCUGAGAGACCUACUGACUCAGUCUGCCCAGGAGAAAGCUUCUGCUUACAAACAGGUCAUAUUGGUCACAAUAUCUGCCUUCCCAGUCCUGACCUUCCCCCCAAAACAGAUAUGCCUCCCAUAACUGCUGCCUUUGGGCAAAUUCCAUGCAGGAGUCUCUGUUGGUGUUGGUGUUUACUUCCAUUUGUGCUGCGAAUUCAGGACAUGACCUGGAGUUCUUCACUCAUCUUCCGUCACCCUGAAGUCGUGGGAGUCCUGUGUUCUUAGGGUCAGUCUGCCAGGCCGCUUAUUGUCUGCUGCUUGGCUCCAGCUGUCAGGCUGUGGCAGCAUUCUGUGUAUGUGUUCUGCGUCUCACCUCUGCCAGGACCUACCCUCCAGCACAGGCUGUCCCCAGCUCCUGCCUCUCGGAUUUUCGCUUGGCACCUGGUGCUGCGUUGUGUCCUUGGAACCUUUGUUGUCACUGUUGGGCCUUGUUUUCCUCUAGCUCGGCAACCUGGGCAGAAGUACCAUGGCUGCUUGGUGUGGGUGUAUGACAGGAAAGGUUCUUCGUGGCUCCAGGGUAGUUUCUCCAGACGACUGACAAGAUGUGGUCUUUAUGGCUGAAGGCUGACCACAUCAUGGUAAUUACUGUUGAUCUAAGCCAUUAAUGUCACUAUUCCUUGAGCAGCCUUUCCCCACGGAUGCUAUAGACUUGUGAUAUACAAGUACCAUUUCUGAGUCCCCACCAACCUUGUGCACUUUCAGAAUUCUUGUGAUUAUAUAUAUUUGUAGAUUCUGUGGUUUUGUUUCUUCUUGAAGUUCUCCAAGAUUAGAAACCCAUCUCUUCCUUGCCAGUUAUUGAACUGUCCCAGUAAUUUGGCCUUCGCUUUCCUCCUCCAGCCUUUUUUCUCCAGGUUCUCCUCUGUCUUGGGCUGUACAUGCUACCUUGAAUGCAUUUAAUCUUUCUAUGUAGUCUUGUCAAGGUGAACCUAGGUAUGGUUGUGCUUGAUUAGUCCUUGGAUGAAAGACCUAGAAAUGCCAGGUGUUGUAGGUCUUCCCUGGUGUUAGUCGGCCUUUUCUUCCAGUGCCUGGUAUGGUACCAAGUGCAAAGUCAUCAUCGUCAUCAGCGUUGUCAUCAUCAUAGAGGUAGCUGGCAUUGAUGGAGCACUUUGCGUUGGGCAUUUUGCUAAAUGCUUUCUGCAUUUCAUAAUAUCCUCACAAAAGCCCUGUGAAGUGUGGAUAAAGCCGAAACUAGAAACUUAGAAAGGUUAAGUAAGUUGUUCAGGUUUUAUGUAACUAGUAAAGAGGCUGCACCAAAAUUCAAAUUCAGAUCUGUCUCAUUUUAGAGUCCGAGUUUUUAACCACUGUAUGUACUAUCUUUGUUUAGUAGUAUAUACUCAAUAAAUGUUUGUAGAUGAGCAAGAUCGUCCCCACAGCCCAGCUGGUCUCCAUGGUGUCAUCACUAAUAAUGUUAAUCAUAGCAACCCACAGCCAGGCUCUGUAGUAAGUGAUGUAUGUAAAUACAAACUCGUUUACUUUUCACAGCUCAGUGAGGAUGAUUACCCCCAUUUUGUACAUUAGGAAACUGAGGCUCAGGCAGGCUGAGCAACUUGCACUAGGUAACCCAGCGAAGUAGUAAUAGUCAGGAUUUGGACAUAGCUUAACUCUUAAACAGUGCGAUCUGUUCUGUUAGUCACUGUAUUACUGAUUCUAUAAAAAAAAAAAAAAAACUUUCAGAAAGUUUGUAAUUAUAUAUUUUGUAGAUUCCUUAUCUUGUGAUGGUUUUUCCGCUCAUCCUGUUCUUGUCAAGAAGCCCAGGCUGGGGCCCUUUUCUCAGACCCUGCCUGUCCACAUUGAAUUCACUUUGCACUAAUGCUUUUGCCUCUUUUAUGUACCACAUGAUUGGCGAUUCAAUUUAUAUUAAACUUUAUUUGUAGAAAAAAUCCUUGUGUUAAAAGCACCUGAUUAAAAAAUGAUAAUAAUAAAGAACCUGAUUUAAGAUGAGUGCUCCAUACCCACAACAAUAGAUCCAUUUGUCUACCUCCUUCAUUUAUGACCAAAGGAAUGGGGACAGGGAGCCCGGAAACAGACCCAUGUGUCUGGACACCUGAGCAGCUGGGAAUGGAUGGUAGUUUUGAUAAACAGUGCGGGGUCCAUUGGAUAGCCACAUGGAAAGAAAUGAAUCUCAACCAUUACCUCACGUCACAAACAAACAUAAAUUCCAGAUCACUUCUCUAAAAAUGAAAGUUAAAGCAAAAAUAAAGCUUCAUCUAGAAGAUACCUGGAAAGAGUAUCUUCAUAACUUUGGGGUAAUCAAUCAUUUCUUAAACAAGACAUAGAAAGCACUACCUAUAAAGGAAAACAUCCAGAAAUCCCUAAGAAAGGAGCCCUCCGCCUCCCGUAGUGAGCAGAAGAAUGUCCCUUACUUAAAAAUUGUGAUUGUAGGCAGUUUUUUCCACCCACUUCCAGAUUGUAACCAGUUUGUCCUGGAUCAUUGGCACAGCCUGGUGGCUGGCCUUGGGAACUGUCUAACCCUGUGGCUCUUCUUGUCCUUUUCACGUGUGUGGACUGUACCCACCUUUCCCAUGCUCUUCUUUAUUUAGCCGUUUGUUCUGCCACCGGUGCCUCCUUUCUCAUGAUAGAACACAGAGAACCUUCCUGCUUCCCUUUGGCGUUUUAACGUUUGAUAUGCUAUCUUAGGAAUAUUUCUCUCUUGCUUCUCCUCUCCCCAUCGGCCCCCCCCCCUUUUUUUUUUGCCUUCUUGUUGAGCCUAAAAGCUUGUGGUUGUAAAAGCUAUCCCAAAAAUGUCUGAAAGUCUUGGGGCAGGGUUGAGGGGGGAACAUGGGAGCCGACUUUGGAGACCUGGAAGCUAGAAGGUACCUAGAGAGAUUUCAGCUCAGUUACUUUCCAGCCGUCUGAGUUCUCCACAGAGGGGUUAGGAGUUAUUGAAUCAAAUGGAAGUUAGACAGUGAUUUGGUCUGGUGUUUAUGGAGGGGCCUAUGCCUUGGAUAAGGAGCCCUGGUGGUGCAGUGGUUAAAUGCUUGGCUGCUAACGGAAAGAUUGGCAGUUCAAACUCAUCCAGUGGCUCCAUGGGAAUGCUCCCAUUUUUCAUAGCCAGUGUAUUGUAUUUUGAACACUUUAUGACAGAAAACAUUGUAGAAGCUUGACAAGUAUGUUUUGCUUUUUAAAAAUUUGAACAAUGUUUAAAAUUCAGGAGUUUAACAUAAUAAAUCUAGAUUUCCAGCUGCUUCUGUAAAACUGGUAAUCUGGGCUCUUUGGGUCUUAUUCCCGUAUGGCCGCAAGCUUACAGAGCUGGGGAGGGGCUGGCCUGGCCAGGAGUGGACUCUUCCUUCCAUUUGGCACAGUCCCUCCCCAGCCUGCUUCACUCCUCUAUUACCUGCCCGGCCCAAAAAGGCAUUCGAGUUUGUGACUUCCUGAAGUGGAUAAAAUAGGCUUUUGUGGGCUAGCCUGGGAACCCAACCAGUAUGUUUAAUAUUGUUUCAACAGGAAGACAUGUUCCAGCUUUUAAAGAGCGGAUUUUUGAAAUAUUAGUCCUUGGAAAUGUGAGAGUGCUUUUAGGGCUCCCAACUGAAAUGUGUGUGCCUUGGGGUGAUGGUCUGUGUGUUAUAUGUCUCCUGUGCUGUAUUUGGAGACCCUGGUGGCGUAGUGGUUAGGUGCUACAGCUGCUAACCAAAAGGUCAGCAGUUCGAAUCUACCAGGUGCUCCUUGGAAACUGUAUGGAGCAGUUCUACUCUGUUCUGUAGGGUCGCUAUGAGUCAGAAUGGACUUGAUGGCAACGGGUUUGGUGCUUUAUUUUGCUUAGCACUUAUCGUUGUUGUUAGAUGCCAUCAAGUUGGCUUUGACUCACGGUGACUUUAUGUGUGACAGAAUGAAACGUUCCCUGGUCCUGCACCAUCUUUACAAUUGUUGGCAUGUUCGAGUCCAUUGUUGUGACUGUUGUGUCAGUCCAUCUCAUUGAGCAUUUCCCUCAUUUUCGCUGACCCUCUAUUUUACCAAAUAUAUUUUUCCAAUUAUUGGUCUUUCCUGAUCGCGUAUCCAAAGUACGCUAGUCAAAGUCUCGCGAUCCUCUCUUCUAAGGAACAUUCCGAGUGUAUUUCUUCUACGACUGAUUUCUUCAUUUUUUUGGCAGUCCGUGCCUAGUACUUAGUAGACACUUAAUAAAUGAUUUACCUCAUGGAGUCACUAAGGCCUGUUGUCUGAUGCCCUUUCAGGCGGCAAACGGAAGCACCUUCUCGCUGUGGGCCUGGGCCUGCCAGUUCUGCUUGAGACCAGAUUGCUGCCUGAUUUACCUAGAUCUCCCACUUUCACCUGGUAGAGGUCCGUAUAGAGUUUUAGGAUCAGUCCCCUCCACAUCUCCCUGUCUUGAGAGAAGCUGUUGCUUUUUCUGAUAAAAGAUCCCGUCACUGUAGAGUCGGCCCUAACAAGGGAAGGCAAGGACAGAGAGGCCUGUGCUCAGCUGGCCGUCCUAGGUAAUGAUGGCCAAACCAGAGUUUGGGGCAGUUACAGAGUACUUGCAUUCCAAACCCUGGACAAGUGUUGGGUAAAAGUUCAGCUCAUUACCAUUAAAGAAAAAAAAAUUUUUUUUUCUUUGGAAUUUCAGAAUUUUUGACCCAGAUCAGUCAGAGGCCAUGGAGAGCUUGCGAUGUGUUGAGAGCUGGUUUCGUUCCUGAGGCCUGUAGCUGCAGAGACGCUCAAUAGAGCCAGUCGUCUCCUCGGCUGGAGCUGAAGCUCAGCCUUUUCAAGUUUGCCCUGCCCCAGCCUCCUUAGGCCUCCAAGAGUGGAUGGAAGGAGCCAGCACCUUCAGCUCACUCAGAAGUUAUCUUUACCCCCUGAAAUCAAACACUGCACACAGCACCCUGUAAAACUGCUUCCUCGUAGGCUGGAGCUUGCUAAGUAAACAUCCUCCCAUGUUUUUGGAACUGCGUUCAUUUAUGCUUCCUGGUCAUCCCGUUUGGGCUUUUCUGCGCUCAGUGCACCCAGAAUCAGUCAGGUUGAUAGAAGGAAGGCGUAGAAUUGGGCAGAGGCACCUAAGAGGACUGUUUUAAUCUUGUAAAAUUGUGAGAAGAGGAAGAGGGUUUUGGGAAGAAAAAGAUAAGGUGAAAAGUGAAACAGAAGAAAGCCUUCCUAAACAUAGGGUCAUCAACAUACUUUGAAAGUCAGCGUAGACCCCGCUGGGACCCUGAGACAGGACCGUUCUUUCCUUGGCUCAAGCUCAGCUUUGCUCUGGUUGUACUCCACAGUUGGCCUCUCUGUGCAAAUCUUGUGGCUGUAUCUGCCCCUUCUCUGACCCUGCCUGCUCGCUCUCCGUCUCUCAUGACUUAUUUGCCUCUUCUCUCUCACUUCCACCCACCCGUGACAUCUCCAUCGCCAUGGCAGUGAGCAGCCACGUCAUUCACCGGGUUCAUGGGGUGAUGGGCCAACUGAAUGCUGGGCCUUACUUUCCUCUAUUCCCCCUCCUGAAGCAGGAGGCUCCCUGGCAGAGCUCAGAACCCUUUGUUUAUUUGAUCCUGGGCUCUUGGAUAAAUCAGGAAUGUCCUGACAUGAACUUAGGCAUGUUUUUCUUCCGUGGAGAAGGAAACUACGGCAAAUGGGAUUUAAGUAGGCAGAGGACCAUUCCAGGGCACUUGCUUCAGUGCCAUCAAGGCCACAUUCCUUUGGUCAUCAGACCAGUAGGUGACUUCUUUAUUGGCAUGCUCUAACCUGGAGCCCAGAAGGUGCAAAUCUGAAGCAUUUCUCCCCCUGCUGGGAGCCUGGCACAGUCACUCGGAGCUUCUUUAAGACUGUGGUGCCAUGGUUGUCUUCCAGGUGGUCCUUGUUUCUGCUGGGUGAAACCUUGUCCCAGCAUCAUUGCUUGAAGAAGUAGUUGCUUGGGAAAUGGGGUCUAGGAUAAGAUGGCUGUCUGGCCUCUUUUUCUUAAGCCAUCUUCCUAUAAGUUGUAAGGCUCUUGACAUGAUAUACUUUUUGACAGGACUGUCCCGGUACCUGAAUGUCUGUCUCACUUCUCAUCAUGCCUCAAGGCACAUACGGUGCAGCUGGUUGUUGGAAACCUUUGCCGGUCCACACUCUAUUGAUGUAGCGGUGUGGGGAACCCUAGACUCCCUGAGUUACUCUGUGUAUACUGUCCAGUGGAUUAGUAUCUGAGUUGAUCUUGGAGACCUUUUUGGGUCUGGUGACGGGAAAACAUUGGGACCUAUGUGUUUAGCUGCUUGCUGUAAGAAGAGACUUGUUGGUAUCCAAAAAGAAGUCCAGUCAGUCUCCAGAGCAUGGGUGGGACCCCUGCCUCCCUUGGAGAGUUUCUAGGAGUGCAGAUGCCUCUGCAUUUCCAUCUUCAGGGCAGAGGGGAGGGGGCUGGUAAGGCUCAUCUCGCUUGGCUGCCUAGCUGGGAGAGGAGGACCCAGGCAUUGGCGACUUCAGGUCCAGGCUUGGCUGUUUCUCUGUUUCGCUGCCUUUCAUGUCAUCGGGAGGAUCUUCUUGGGAACAAAUGACUCAGCAGCCUGAACCUCUGGGACCGUGUGGCCUCACUGCUUUCUGAGAAGUGAGUGAAGUAUCUACCUAGGCCCUAAAACUCGGAGCCCAGGAAGAAUGGAGUUACAGAGGGUUUUUGUGCUGGCUUUCUCAGCUGCUCUUCAGUUUGGUUUCUUAAAUUCCUGACCUGAUAGGAGGAUCUCACUUGUAGGGUAAGCAGGCAAUGUUUUAAUUAUGCAUUUUGUCCUUAGGAAAUUCCAGGGAGAAAAAGGCCCUGGUUUGUGGCCAAAAAAGCAAAAAAACAGAACAAAGUAGAGUCAGCUAGGGUUGUUAUUCGGGACUUGCUCGUGGCAGAAAGAGUUAAUGUGGUGGUGGUCUCGGGGAGAGGACCAUUUUUUUGCUCAGGGUUGGGAGAAGCCCACACGAUUCAAGAAAAGAUGAUAAAACAUUUAGCAUGGGGCAGCCUUUCUGGACUCUGGGGGCUGUUACUCAAAGAGUUAAGCUGUUCCUGUGGCUGGGAAGCCCUCAGGGAAGGAGCAGCCUGCAGGGACCUGGACCUCUAUGCCCCAGAGCAGUGAGGUGUGGGGUGAAAAACUGGCUGGCUGGAAAGUGUGGCCAGGGAAGCAGUGUAGGCCCAACUUUUUUUUGCCUUGUUUGACCAGCCUUGGCACUGCCCUCCGGCUCUCCAGGGGAAAAGCUGCAGUUCUGCUCUUGCAACACAAGGAGCAGACUGGAGAAUUUAGAUCUGCGUCACAGAGCUCAGAGAGAGAGAGAGAGAGCGAGAGCUCCAUCGAUAGGUCUGCUAGCAACAGCCGUGCUGCAGCAGAGAGAGAGAGAGAAAUCAAGAAACAAGUCAUAGCAACACCGGGCACCAGGUCUGCCAGCUCACUUGCCAAGCUUCCAGAAAUCUGUCGGGGGCAGGAGGCCUCUGGGUAGCCUGGGCUGAGGACAUGACACGCUAGGUGGCACGGGCGGCUCCCGUGGGGAGGACUCGGGGUGGUGGUGGGGGCAGGGGUGAGAGCAAGAUGUUGCGGGGCGACGGUGGAAGGUUUAACGGGACAAAAUUCUGGAACCUUCGGGACUGCGGCACCUUGCGGUCCGGACAGAGAUUUGGGUCUGCGCAGGCGAUGGUGGGUGGGCCGACAGGCUCCCCGACUUGAUGGCGUAACCCCCAUCUUCUCCCACGUACGUAUUUGCUGGGAUCUGGGCGAUGUCUCUGCGUGUGGGGGCUCUGUCUUUCUCACCUCUUUUCUCGCUUUCUGCUAUUUUUUCUCCGGGGGAGGAUUUUUUUUUUUUCUACUUUAAUUUCUUUUCCCUUAGUGUCAGCUGCUCAAGGCUGACCAGGGUGGAGGAGAGAGAAGUGAGCUGUCUCCAGCUUCCCAUUUGACCUCCCAGCCUUCACCCCAUUUCCCUCUGGUGGACAGAUAGUUGGACAGACUGGUUUGCCAGGUUGUUUGGGUGUCAGCGUCUGCCUGUCCACGCAGUUCUUAGGUAGAAGGUAGGGAGUGAGGAGAAGUGGUGAGGGAAGGCAAGAGGAGCAGCUUUCCAGGGGUUACCUAGUGGAGAUGCUUGUCCCCAGGAGUAAGAGUCUGGUGGGGAGCAGUGUGGUGGAUAGGAUGGGGCGUGGGCCCGGAGAAGUGGGGUGAAGCUGGUGGGUUUGUCACUGCGUAGUUGGGCAAAGUGGUGAAUGGUGACGCAGUCACUGUUGCAUCUCGUUAGGAGCUCAAGGGGGGCAGGUAGUGAGGCUGUCUGGUCUGAGGGGCCAGCUGAGAGGGUUAAGGAUGAGCUGAGAAAGGAAGCUAGCAUUCAGAGAUUAAAUGUCAUCCUUUUGGCGUUGGAAAGUUGUUUACCUUGCGCUCUCUGUGUCUCCAUGUUGGCACCCUUCCAGUUCACAUGUGAUGGCCUUCCCUGUACUGCUGCAUCAUUAACUAAGUGACUGAGCUGGCCUCCCAUUGGCCAGGGGAGGGCUCUCACUCCAGACACUCUUCUGAUUGGUGGGCGGCCCGAUGGCAGGUGAAAACCUUUUUUUGAUUGGCCAAGGGCAGGGUAUCAAAUCUGAAUUUGCAUUUCACUUGCUUAAAGGGGGGAGAAGCCCAGCAGCUUUCUAAAAUCUCUUUAGGGGUGUGCGUAUGCGUGUGUGCCUGUGCCGGCUUCUGGGCUUCUGACUGACCACAGAAGCCCCUUCCUGUGCCUUCUUUAUUUCAUGCACUAUAAGGAAGAAGAGAUCAGGGCUCCACAAACUUUUUUGCGGGAGUAUAGAGGGUUUAGGGAGGUGGGUGUGCAGAGAGUUGACCAAAUUGGAAGAAAAUAUUUUAGUCCUUUAGUUGGGUGUCAGAAAAGGGAAUUUUCCAAUCAGCCACACCUCAGUGUUGCUGCAAAAUAACUCUGGGCUCCCUGGAAACGCACGGGUAAGGUAGGGGAGAGCCGCUGCUGAUACUGCCACCACCCUGGGCUUCCUGCUGACUCUGGGCUACUCCCCGGGGACCAGAGAUUUGCAUUGACGUCCCUGGCUGUCCAGAAGCCCUCAGGAGCCAGUCGUGAGCUGAGCUCAGAAUGGGAAAGACCUGCUUUCUGGAAGCUGCUGCUACCUGGUACUUGGAAAGAUGACGUUUGACACGGACCACCUCCUCUCCAUGGACCUCCUAGGGCGGCUCGUUUGGAAUCUCGGGUAGGGGUGGCUCCUGGGCCUUGGGAGGCAGAGGGAGUGGGCAGAGCUGGCUGGGGUCACAGCGAGGGUGGAGCAGGGCAAGGGAUGGGGGCCCAUGCCCACCCAGAGGGCGAGGGCAGCCACAGCUCUUCUCGCCAUGUCUUCCUCAGCCUGCGUAGAGAGGAACUUGACCUAAAAAACUUGUAUAUGUGUGGGUAUUGGAUCCUUCUGUGUCUUGUAUUUCUUUGUCUGGAACUGUGCAUGAGACGAGAACCUGGAUUCCGUCCUUGGGACAGCUGUCUGGUCUCUCAGAUUUGUGUUCUGAAAGAGAUGAUGGACAGGCCCCCCUUGAUUAGACCCUGUGCCCAUUGGUGCUGGCCUUUCUCCAGAAUGAUGGGCCCCCAUGACUUUGCCCAGCAUCGUCUUGCUUCUAUCAUUAGAUGAUGAGCUGAGGGCCAUGGUCACAGGGGCCACAUUAACCCCAGAUGGGGCCUUGAUUGGAGUCUGCACAAUUAAUUGCUUGGUUCCAUGAGCUGAGCCCAUGUCUUCCUUUGUCUUCUUCCCUAUAGAGAUCUUGGGAGAGUUUAGUUAGCUCCACGGGUAAGUGAUAAUCUCUUUGAGACUCAUCCCCGGCCGAGCAUGGUGCCAUAUGCAGGAGACAGCCAUCCUGUGGUCAGAUGGAAUAGCCAGUUUGCAUUCACUGGGAACAAAAAAAAAAAGAAGAUGCCUGCCAGCCCCGGUUCUCCGCGGUAAGUAUCAGUCCACAUUCUUCUACAUUCUUUUAUUUCUUCAAACAUCAGAACUGGAUAGACGUUUAUUGAGCCCAGCCAGCUGCGGUGCCUUUGCCAUUCUUAUUCUGCACACCCCCGCCCCUAGUUCCCCGGAAGAGGGAACUAGAUUGAUUUUCUAGUGCAACUGGAGAGCUGCAGAGAAGCUGUAAGUCAGGUUCAGUCCCCAUACAGCCCCCUGACAUUUAGGAGAAGUCAAUUUUCCCUUAAAAUGGAGCCAUCAGCCCGUGUCCCUCAGUGCAGAAGGCUAAUGGGCUGACUGGAAGGACCCUGUUUGCCCUCACUGCCCCCAGCCUGUGGGUGAGGCUCUCAGCUGGCUGGCUGUGGGAGGAUGGUCCUUGCCAGCACCUAGCGUGGUUCUCUGCCAAGUUCUAGCUCCAGAUCUCUAGGCUGGAAGGAACCUAGACUAUAUAUAGCCUUGUGCUAAGCAGUUCUUAUCGGACGUGUCUGCCCUCCCCUGCAGGAGAGAAGCACUUCUGUCAGAGAACCGGAACCCAGAUUGUGUGAGCCAUCUCCACAGGGCCUUUUAUUCUGGGAAGGUGUGUGUGUGUGUCUUUAUAUGUGUGCACGCGCGUGCGUGGUUCAGAGCUGCCAAGCCUUAUUUCCUUUCCCCUGUUUCAGAUGCUGGUGGAUUCAAAGGUCGUGCUGGAUGAGAGUGCUGAUGUGGGGUGAGGCCAGGAAAGACUGAGAGUUCUCUGAUGGAUGCUGGGCCUGGAGGAGAGGCCAGGGCCAUGUGACAGGGCUGAAGGCACAGUUGUGCCCCACGUCAGAGGUGCUGCUUCUCUGACUGAAGUGCUGAUUGUUGUGACAUGAUCCCAGUCUUGUCAGUGAAUCAUCACCAGACUGGAAACCAGACGCAGUAAGGAAAAUAGGACGUAACCCGUCCCUACCUCCCAGGUAGGUCAAGUGUGGUCUACUCCCUGCUGGCCUUCCUCCAUCCACGUCCCUUCUCAUGAAGACUGUUUCCCUUAUUCAGCAGGGACUCCUCAGACUUCUCCAUUCAGAAUCGCACAUACAGUUGCUCUCUUCUUUCCAUUCUCCGGUUGCUGGAUUUUCUGUGAAUGGGCUUAGUAACCAGCAGCAGGCUGGGGGAAGGGCAGCCAGCUGAAGUGACCAGCUGCUAGGAUGUCUGGGAGAUAUCUGGGAGCAUUGCUGGGUGUGGCAGUUGGCAGAGGAGCCAGGUCUCCCACAGUAGCUGAAUGGAAACUCUGCUGGGCCCCUAGCAUCUAGCUUCCCUGGCUUUAACCUCAGGGCCCUGGGAGCUGCCUGGAGCUUGGGCCUCCUCUUCCCAGAGAGGUCUCAGCAGAUGCUGUGUCUUACUUGAGACACUUUAGCUUUCCUGGCAACUAGUCUAGAGGCUGUGGUCUAGAGUUCAGAGAGUGGGUUGGGCAGUGGACUUUGUGGCUCUCUCCCUGACUUGUGGGGUUUCUUGGAUGAAUCACUUUCUUCCUCAAGGCCCUUAUUCCCUUCCCCUUCAAAGAAAAAAGAAAAAAAUCCUGGCCCAGUAAGCCGUUGCAGAGCAUUUCUAGGCAGUUGAUGUAGAAAUGCUUUUCUCUCUUUCUGCCUUGCUUGAUGCCGGCCACAGUGAUAGCAGUAGCAGUUAAAAAUGACGAUGGCUUGCAGAGUCAGGAAGGGCUGGUGCGUUAGAGAGACAGCUCAGAAAGCAGGCUGUGGGCACGUGACACAUCACAAGUGCUACGUCAGUCUCUCUCCUCUCAGUAGCUUACUGCCGUGUUCUUGGCCAGUGAGACCAGUUGGAAUUAGCCAGCAGUAGAUUUAUUGGGGGCCUGAAGAUAAAAGGAAUGGUGCCGAAUAAUCUUGGGAUGCUUUCCCUGAUACUGGGAGGCCCCUGUGUGAUCCCGCCUCCUACCACACAGUCACUGCCACAGUCUGGUGAAUGUGGGUGCUGUUUCCUCGUCCCCACCCCAACCCAGGCAGUCUGGGCUCACUGUGUUUCAUCUUCCCGUCCGAGAUGAGUCUCCAAGCUAGCAGUGAGUAGCGUUGAGAUGCUCACCAAGUGAGGAAUCUAGGACUGUCUGGAAGAGUCCGGUGUCUCUUCCUACAAGGAAUUUGACAAGUCUCAGCCCCCGCUGCAGUAACAUAGUUAGGGAUGGCUGCGGGUGUUGGACCUGGAACAUGAAUAAAAAGGGGCGAUCAGCUUUGGUGCAGCUGGAACAUGAAGAGGAGUGAGCCAAGGCCCUCAAGAUGUGUUGGCUAGAGUCUGGCCAGGGCUGGCUGUAGGCUCCUGCCAGACGUAGCUGCUGGCCACACUUGGAGCCCCGGCCCUCAUCUGUGUGGCGUGUGCCUGGGCCUGGCUCUCUUGACUGCCCUGCCCUUGGCUAGGUCAGGCUACCAGGGUGGGCAGCAGAGGGGUCGUUGGUUCUGCUCCUUGUGACACAGCUGUCUGCGGCUCCUGGUGUUUCCAGAAUUCAUGCUGGUGCUUCCCUGGUGAUUUUUCUGUUUUUGUCUGCCCUGCCUCUCUGCCCACUAGCCUGGUUUCCACUGACAUAGGAAGUUAUGUGUUGCAAGUUGGGCUACAGAACAGUUGGCAUCCCUGAGAGGGGCCAACCUUUUCUGGUGCUUUUUUCUCUGAGGUUUGGGAGCUAGGCGGCAGUGUUGGGCCUUUCCAUCCAGGAUCCAGCAGAGGUUAAUAGAGCUGGUGGGGCAGGAGCAGUAGUAUUGUGGCUUGGCCAGGGUGGUGUGGGGAGGGGCCCUGCCAGAGGACCCAAUUGGUCAGCACCUUCUCUCAUCCACUGACUCCUGGGCUGGUCAGGCCUGUGAAUUGUUUAAUGCAUGUCUUGGCUCUGUCCCCUGGCAUAGGUGCCCCUGAGGCUGCAGCCACAGCUUUCAAGAGGAUCUGUACCUCAUGCUGGUCACUUUUGGGUGCAUUGCCUUCUGCUGAGAUACAUAAGAGAUACUUCUUUUUCCGCCAGCUGGCAGUCUAUGGGAGGCCCUUGUUGCUCUUCUGGACAUGGGUUGACUGUGAAGGAAGCACAGGCUGGGUUUGGUUUUUGCUGGCUCCUUUCUCAUGAGCUGUUCGUGGGCUGAUAAGGCAGAGAACACCACCAGGCCCCAAGGCCCUGGGUCCACACAUGCAAGACAGUGUCCAGCCAGGGCAGGAGUAGAGCAGGACACCAGGAUGGCGGGAGGUGCAGGGGAGGUUGAUGUGCUCCAAAUGAUCACAGGAGCAAGGCCAGGAGGGUGUGGGGGACAGGCCCAGUGCUUGGCUGGGCUACCUGCUGUGGACUAGGAUGGCUGUGUGUGUACAUGUGUUCCCUCUGAAGGACUCACAUCUGAAUGCCUAGGCUACAGACAGUAUGGCGCCCAGAUCAGGGUCUGUAAUGAGGCGUGAGGGUAUGAGGUGGGCAUCAGAACUCCUGGUCUCAGCAUGCUGCCUGGGGAAGGGAAAUUGACCUUUAGUAAGGCCUACUACGUUGGCCAGGUUACUGUUUCUCCCUCCUUUGCUUUUCUGAUUUUAUCCUCAGAACUCCCAUGGGAAGUAGGUGUUAUCUCCCUUUUAAGAUUAAAGGAGCCUGGUGGCGCAAUGGUUAAGGGCUUGGCUGCUAACCGAAGGGUCACUAGUUCAAACCCACUAGCUACGUACGAGAAAAGACCUGGUGAUCUGCUCCUCUAAAGAUUACAGUCUAGAAAACCCUAUGGGGCAGUUCUGUUCUGUCCUAUAGGGUUCCUAUGAGUUGGAAUUGACCUGAGGGCCCACAACAACAACAUGGUUAAAGAAACUGUGGUUAUCAAGUGACUUAACCAAGGUUACAUGCUUGGUACUGAGGGCUUGUCAAGAUUGGAAUCCAGGCCUGUACUUUUUCAGCUGUCCCCAUACCCUCUUGGGUUGAAGUCAGACAUUUUUGGGAGCUAAGUCCCUCAGAGGAUAAGCAACCAGGAGAACUGACCUGAACCAGAGUGAAGGGCCAGAGACCCGGGGGGAACUUCCCUGUCCCUGGGGAAGGCAGGGCAGAGGUGGAUAGUCUUGGGUAUCUGUGGACAGGCAGGGCUGAGCAAGGCAGACCCUUUCCUUCUGUAAAUAUGUAUAGAGCCUGUACUCUAUGUGAGGGACUGUACCAGUGCCGAGGACAUAGAACUCAACAAAACAAAAUUUGCUCUCAUGGGUCAUUCGUUCUAGUGUGGGGAGAGAUCAUUCAAACAGUUAAUAGUAAUUUAAAAUAUAUCAAGUAAUGUCUGAGAGAGGCUUAUGAGGACUCUGCUUUCUGCAGUUUUUCUGUAAACCUCAAACUGCUCUAAAAAUCUUACCAAGAAAAUAUAUAAAGAAGACAUAGAUGGAGAAUGUGUGGGAAUGAAGAACAAGGACACCCACACAUAAGAAGGGGUCCAAAUGAUGAUCAAACAGGGGUAUCUAGGACACUGAAGGACCUUAGCCACCUGGGGAAACCAUAUUGAGUCUUUCUCCAAAGAAUUAGGAGUGCUAAGGAUACUGACCCCUUCUUUUCUCCUAAUAACUAGCAAAAUCCAAGGGCCCCAUAGCUUACAGGGACUUGUCCAAAGUUACACAGCCACUCAGGGAUCAAGGUGGGACUAGAUGUCAAGCUUUCAGUCACAGACUAAGAGUUUUUUCCAUUGGCCAAGGCUAUUCUUGGCCUUUCAUCUCCCACCCUCACGUGGUGCCAGCUGGCUUCUCUGCUCAGCAUGGUCUGUGCGGCACAGGGGAACAUUUGGGUUAAAUCUUUGCUGAGUCACUGGACUCUGAGCUCAGCCUCACUUUCCGGAAUGCAUGGUUCCACGAGCUGAUUAUCAUGAUAGGGAAGGGACAAGCACAAGUCACCUCGUGUCAGAUGUUUGGUCUUGCUUGGUGUCUUGAGAGGUUGAGGCAGGCUUGUGGUGCUGUAGAUGGGGGAGGGAGCUGUUUUCAGCGUGUCCAGCCCCAGGGCUUAGGACUUGUUUACUUGGUGGAAGAGGCAGACCCGUCCAUGGUGAGUCAGGCCACGUGAUCCUUCCCUCCUUGGCCUGUCAUUGGCGCACAGCCUCCCUGUACCGUGGAGACUGCCAUCUGCUGCCAGGAGUCUGAUGUUGUACAAGGGCCUUGCUAGGGUUACAGACCAAAUGAGGUGGGUGUCUGUGGUAGUGAGGUGUGGGGGCUCAGAGGGGGUGGGAAGUGGGCUCUAGGUUGCUUGGUGUAGUGGAGUCAGCAGACCUGGAUUCUGUCUUGGUUCCAUUGGUAAAAAUUAACUCACUCACUCACUUUCCCUCUUUGGGCUUCAGAUUCAUUGUCUCUAAAAUGAGGGGGUUGAACCAGAAUCUUCUCAGAGGUUCCUGCCAAGUAGUACUGGGUCUCUCUAAAUAUUUGGGGAGGUGUUUCUUAGCCAGGAACUCAGGACAAGGAAAACUAGACCUGAGUUAAAAUGAGAUGGAAGAGGUCUUGAGCAAACGGAGUCCCAGAGCAACCAGAGUCCUCUUCCCUGAAUAAACACUCUUGGCAUGAAUUAGGGUAGAUGGGGAGAGAUAUAAUAUUUGAAGGACUCCCCAGAAGGAGGAGGGAUGCAGCUGGAGAUUGAGUGCAGGUGGUGGAGCUGGCUGGUUGAUGAGGCUCCAGCAAGUGACGGUGCUCAGGCUCCCACCUAGAGAUCUGUAUAGAGAUGGGGCACCUCAGUUGCUGCUGGGGGUGCUUGCAGUACUGCAAGGGGUGGCUAGAGGAACUGCUCUCUCGGUAAAAUUCUCAAUUCUUCGUGGUUCAAAACCCUGGAGUGAAAGUGGGAUUGUGGAGUUAGGGAGGGCCCCUUGCCAUCAGGAAGUUCUUUAUAUUUCACCACCUUCUAUUGCAAAAAAGAGAAGUGUCUGUUUGGUACAAAUGGUUAAUGCGCUCAGCUGCUAACUGAAAGGUUGGUGGUUUGUGUUCACCCAGAGGUACCUCAGAAAAAAGUCCUGGUGAUCUACUUAAAAAAAAUCAGCCCUUGAAAACCGUAUGGAGCACAGUUCUGCUCUGACACACAUGGGGCCGCCAUGAGUUGGUAUUGACCCGAUGGCAAGUGGUAUUAAAAAAAGAAAAAAAUAAUAAAAACAAAAAUAAUUUAGAGCCACCAGUUCCCUUUUUGGCUUGUUAGUUUUGAGUCAGUCUUAAUAAGAUAACAAAAAUAAAGCACAUGCAGAAAAGCACAGGGCCCCAGACCCACAGGCUGCUGUGCUGCAGCCAGGCAAGGCCAGGCCUCCCCAUGGCAGCUCAGCCUAGAGGUCUGCCUCUUUCCCCAUACUGUGCAGCCACGCAAGGCCAGGCUUCCCCAUGGCAGCCUCAGCCCAGAGGUCUACCUCUUCCCCCAGACUCUGCAAUCAGGCAAAGCCAGGCUUCCCUGUGGCAGCCUCAGCCCAGAGGUCUGCCUCUUCCCCCAGACUGUGCAGCCAGGCAAGGCCAGGCUUCCCUAUGGCAGCCUCAGCCCAGAGGUCUGCCUCUUCCCCAAGACUCUGCAGCCGGGCAAGGCCAGGCUUCCACAUGGCAGCCUCAGCCCAGAGGUCCACCUCUUCCCCCAGACUCUGCAGCCAGGCAAGGCCAGGCCUCCCCAUAGCAGCUCAGCCCAGAGGUCCGCCUCUGCCCCCAGACUCUGCAGCCGGGCAAGGCCAGGCUUCCUCAUGGCAGCCUCAGCCCAGAAGUCUACCUCUUCCCCAAGACUCUGCAGCUGGGCAAGGCCAGGCCUCCCCAUAGCAGCUCAGCCCAGAGGUCUGCCUCUUCCCCCAGACUGUGCAGCCAGGCAAGGCCAGGCUUCCCCAUGGCAGCUCAGCCCAGAGGUCCACCUCUUCCCCAAGACUCUGCAGCCAGGCAAGGCCAGGCUUCCGCAUGGCAGCCUCAGCACAGGGGUCUACCUCUUCCCCAAGACUCUGCAGCCAGGCAAAGCCAGGCUUCCCCAUGGUAGCCUCAGCCCAGAGGUCUGCCUCUUCCCCAAGACUGCAUCCAGGCAAAGCCAGGCUUCCCCGUGGCAGCCUCAGUCCAGAGGUCUGCCUCUUCCCCCAGACUAUGCAGCCAGGCAAGGCCAGGCUUCCCUGUGGCAGCCUCAGCCCAGGGGUCCACCUCUUCCCCCAGACUCUGCAGCCAGACAAGGCCAGGCCUCCCCAUAGCAGCUCAGCCCAGAGGUCUGCCUCUUCCCCCAGACUGUGCAGCCACGCAAGGCCAGGCUUCCCCAUGGCAGCCUCAGCCCAGAGGUCCACCUCUUCCCCAAGGCUCUGCAGCCAGGCAAGGCCAGGCUUCCCCAUGGCAGCGUCAGCACAGAGGUCCACCUCUUCCCCCAGACUCUGCAGCCAGGCAAGGCCAGGCUUCCCCAUGGGCAGCCUCAGCCCAGAGGUCCACCUCUUCCCCAAGGCUCUGCAGCCAGGCAAGGCCAGGCUUCCACAUGGCAGCCUCAGCCCAGAGGUCCACCUCUUCCCCAAGACUCUGCAUCCAGGCAAAGCCAGGCUUCCCUAUGGCAGCCUCAGCCCAGAGGUCCACCUCUUCCCAAGACUGCAGGUAGGAGCCCUUGGGGCUGAGGGGGACCUGUGGUGUAAUCUGCAAAACAGAAUGCAGGGCUUUAAAAAUAGCUGCAUUUCUGCAGAUGCUAUCUGCUUGCCACUUGGCUAGAUAUUUACCUGGCAUUAAAAACAACCUGCUUCUGCCUUCCACCCCAGUGUGUCAUAAUGAACGAUGUGAGCUAUUUUUCAGGUAGGAGAGGAAUUGAUUAGCAACAGUCGUGUGACUCUCUCCCAUGUGAUGUUUUAUAGCUCUUUUCACAUUGGCUGCACUGGGUCCUCUCACAUUCUGCGAGGGUUAUCUUCAGAGUGGAUGAAACUGGCCAGAGAGAGUCUUGCCAAGACCUGACUAACUGCUGGCACCUGUGUAAAUUGGGGCUCCCACCCUGACUCCAGCUGGCCAGGCUUUAGUAGCAUUCCAGCCCUGGCCAGUGGGGAGAGGGGUCUUGGACAAUGUUCUUUGAUCUCUGUGGGCCUUUGGUGCAUUGAAGGGUAAGGAAAUUACAGAGUGUUAGGGUUUUCAUAUUCUCUAGUCCUUUAGACUUCUUGAGAUUCUUGAGAGAAUUGCCUUGCACUUUUUGGUUGGAAAACUAGCCACUCUCCAUGUGUUCCCGGAGAGGUUUCCUACAUUUGGGAGCUCCUGGAAUAUGGACAGCAUGAGGUUUAAGAAGUCAUCACGUUUGAAAACGUGAUGCUUUAAACCAUUGACACAUCUGUGUGGCACUUGAUGCAUGCCCGUACAGGCAGGUUUCUGGGAAUUGUAGGUCACUUAGAGAUGAGGCCUCACUGGGGCAUCUUUGAGAGACAGUCCAGCAGAUUUAUAAGGGAUACCCUGAUCUCGGCUCAGCAUGCAUGUUGUGUGUAUGUUCCUGUUUGCUGGCUAAUGUACACCACCUGCUGAAGAAUUGGCUAAUGUACAAUGUAAAGUAAGAUACUAGACACCCCAGCAUCAGCUCUGGAUGUUUGCUUCAUGAGUGACUGGGAAGUAAGCCUGACCUAUGGAGAGGAAGGGGGUAAGAGAGUGCUCAGGCUUAAAUUUUCUCUGAGGGUAACCCCCUCACUUUAUAAGGGGCACUGAGGAUUGAGCUGCCUGUCUUCUUGGCCAUUUCGCUCCCUGAGUGAUCUUCAUUCAGUAGACCCAGAACUUGUAUGAAGGGGAAAGAAGUGUUUACCUUAAUUUAAAACAUAUUUAAGCUCAUGGUUUAGGCAGCACUUGAAGGUGUUCUGGAAGAACGGUUGGGAGCCGACCAGGGGCAGCGCGCAUGUCUGUGGAUUGUCAGAUCACACUCCCUCAGCGCAGCCUUGGCCUGUAGAGAACCCCUGGGGC